CCUACGGGAGGCAGCAGUGAGGAAUAUUGGUCAAUGGACGAGAGUCUGAACCAGCCAAGUAGCGUGAAGGAUGACUGCCCUAUGGGUUGUAAACUUCUUUUAUAUGGGAAUAAAAUGUUCCACGUGUGGGAUUUUGUAUGUACCAUAUGAAUAAGGAACGGAUAACUCCGGGCCAGCAGCCGCGGUAAUACGGAGGAUCGGAGCAUUAUCCGGAUUGAUUGGGUUUAAAGGGAGCGUAGGUGGAUUGUUAAGUCAGUUGUGAAAGUUUGCGGCUCAACCGUAAAAUUGCAGUUGAAACUGGCAGUCUUGAGUACAGUAGAGGUGGGCGGAAUUCGUGGUGUAGCGGUGAAAUGCUUAGAUAUCACGAAGAACUCCGAUUGCGAAGGCAGCUCACUGGACUGCAACUGACCCUGAGGCUCGAAAGUGUGGGUAUCAAACAGGAUUAGAUACCCUGGUAGUC
rnacentral:rRNA from 1 species